UACGAAGGGGGCUAGCGUUGCUCGGAAUCACUGGGCGUAAAGGGUGCGUAGGCGGGUCUUUAAGUCAGGGGUGAAAUCCUGGAGCUCAACUCCAGAACUGCCUUUGAUACUGAAGAUCUUGAGUUCGGGAGAGGUGAGUGGAACUGCGAGUGUAGAGGUGAAAUUCGUAGAUAUUCGCAAGAACACCAGUGGCGAAGGCGGCUCACUGGCCCGAUACCUGACGCUGAGGCACGAA
rnacentral:rRNA from 1 species